rnacentral:rRNA from 1 species
UACGAAGGGGGCUAGCGUUGCUCGGAAUCACUGGGCGUAAAGGGUGCGUAGGCGGGUCUUUAAGUCAGGGGUGAAAUCCUGGAGCUCAACUCCAGAACUGCCUUUGAUACUGAAGAUCUUGAGUUCGGGAGAGGUGAGUGGAACUGCGAGUGUAGAGGUGAAAUUCGUAGAUAUUCGCAAGAACACCAGUGGCGAAGGCGGCUCACUGGCCCGAUACUGACGCUGAGGUACGAAAGCGUGGGAAGCAAACAGG